AGAAAAUAAUGACUCCAUACCAGUGUUUCUUAACCAGGGUUCGAGCGAACCCUAGGGGUUCGAUGAAUCAGUUUCAGGGAUUCGACAGAGCCUCUGCCAUGGAGGUUAAGACAAACCCGACUCAACAUGUCAUUUAGUUAUGAUUCGUCCGCUUGGCCAUUACACGGCUGGUUCAUUUUGUGCACAAUUAAAAAACG